GACGAACGCUGGCGGCGUGCUUAACACAUGCAAGUCGAACGGAAAGGCCCUGCUUUUGUGGGGUGCUCGAGUGGCGAACGGGUGAGUAACACGUGAGUAACCUGCCCUUGACUUUGGGAUAACUUCAGGAAACUGGGGCUAAUACCGGAUAGGAGCUCCUGCUGCAUGGGGGGGGUUGGAAAGUGUCGGCGGUUGGGGAUGGACUCGCGGCUUAUCAGCUUGUUGGGGGGGUAGUGGCUUACCAAGGCUUUGACGGGUAGCCGGCCUGGGAGGGUGACCGGCCACCUGGGGACUGAGAUACGGACCAGACUCCUACGGGAGGCAGCAGUGGGGAAUAUUGCAGAAUGGGCGGAAGCCUGAUGCAGCAACGCCGCGUGCGGGAUGACGGCCUUCGGGUUGUAAACCGCUUUCGCAUGUGACGAAGCGUGAGUGACGGUAAUGGGUAAAGAAGCACCGGCUAACUACGUG
rnacentral:rRNA from 1 species